rnacentral:ncRNA from 1 species
UUAUUUUAUUUUGGUUAAUAUUUUUAUUAUUAUUUUAUUUUACAUGUAAAUUUUUGUGUGAAUUAAUUUAAUUUUUAAAAAAUUAAAUAUAAAAAUUUAUUCGCAGUAAUUGAUAUUAAUAUAAAAAAGAAAUUUUGUAUUAGUAAUAAUAUAUAGUAUUGGUAAAAUUUGUGCCAGCUACCGCGGUUAUACAAAUAAUGCAAGUAAAAAUUUUUAGUAUUAGUUAAAUUGUUAAAUUUAUAAUAUAAAUAUAAAUUUAUUAGGUGAAAUUUUUAAAUUUAUUUAUUUAUUAUUUUAAAAAAUAAUUUAAGCUAUAAACUUUUUAUAAUAAACUAGGAUUAGAUACCCUAUUAUUGAAAAUAAAUAUUUAAAUACUUAAGUAGUAUUAGUUAUAUUCUUAAAAUUUAAAAAAUUUGGCGGUAUUUUAGUCUAUUUAGAGGAAUCUGUCCUGUAAUUGAUAAUCCACAUUGAACCUUACUUAAAUUUGUUUAAUUUGUAUAUCGCCGUCAUCAGAAUAUGUUAUAAGAUAAAAAUUUUCUUAAUAUUUAAUUAAAUAAGAUGUCAGGUCAAGGUGCAGUUUAUGUUUAAGUAGAGAUGGAUUACAAUAAAUUUAUUUAAAUGGAUAAUUUUUUGAAAUAAAAGUUUGAAGGUGGAUUUAAUAGUAAUAUAAAAUAGAUUAUUUAUAUGAUUUUAGCUCUAAAAUAUGUACAUAUCGCCCAUCGUUCUUAUUUUUAAAAUAAGAUAAGUUGUAACAUAGUAGAUGUACUGGAAAGUGUAUCUAGAAAGA